rnacentral:miRNA from 1 species
CCUGGGGACUAAUGGGUAGCCAGUGCUGCUGGCUGACUCUGCUGCUCCCAAAG